rnacentral:misc_RNA from 1 species
GAAAUGCGAUAAGUAAUGUGAAUUGCAGAAUUCAGUGAAUCAUCGAAUCUUUGAACGCACAUUGCGCCCGCCAGUAUUCUGGCGGGCAUGCCUGUCCGAGCGUCAUUUCAACCAUCAAGCCCCCGGGCUUGUGUUGGGGACCUGCGGCUGCCCGCAGGCCCUGAAAACCAGUGGCAGGCUCGCUGUCACACCGAGCGUAGUAGCAAUCACCUCGCUCAGGGCGUGCUGCGGGUUCCGGCCGUUAAACAGCCUUACAAAACCCAAGGUUGACCUCGGAUCAGGUAGGAACACCCGCUGCACUUGAGC